CUGCUCACUUGGGCAACACAUACACUAAAAUUGGAACGACACAGAGAAGAUUAGCAUGGCCCCAUGCAGGGAUGACAGAGAAAUUCACGAAAGUUCCAUAUUUUAU